AUUGAACGCUGGCGGCAGGCCUAACACAUGCAAGUCGAACGAGUGGCGGACGGGUGAGUAAUGUCUGGGCAACUGCCUGAUGGAGGGGGAUAACUCCUGGAAACGGUAGCUAAUACCGCAUACCAUCGGAUGUGCCCAGAUGGGAUUAGCUAGUAGGUGGGGUAAAGGCUCACCUAGGCGAGGAUACCUAGCUGGUCUGAGAGGAUGAACAGCCACACUGGAACUGAGACACGGUCCAGACUCCUAAGGUAGGCAGCAGGGGGGAAUAUUGCACAAUGGACGCAAGCCUGAUGCAGCCAUGCCGCGUGUAUGAAGAAGGCCUUCGGGUUGUAAAGUACUUUCAGCGGGGAGGCGUUACCCGCAGAAGAAGCACCGGCUAACUCCGUGCCAGCAGCCGCGGUAAUUC
rnacentral:rRNA from 1 species